CAUGUAGGCGGCUUGGUAAGCCUGGCGUGAAAGACUGCAGCUUAACUGUAGGGAUGCGUUGGGAACUGCUUAGCUUGAGUUACGGAGAGGGAGCUGGAAUUCCUGGUGUAGGGGUGAAAUCUGUAGAUAUCAGGAAGAACACCGAUGGCGAAGGCAAGCUUCUGGUCGAUAACUGACGCU
rnacentral:rRNA from 1 species